rnacentral:ncRNA from 1 species
AGGAUCGUGUCAAAAAGAUAAGUUCUCCUAGAAUCGAAAGAUUCAGCAUUAAACUUCCUAUUUUGACUUUAUCCG